rnacentral:rRNA from 1 species
CCUACGGGAGGCAGCAGUGAGGAAUAUUGGUCAAUGGGCGGGAGCCUGAACCAGCCAAGUCGCGUGAGGGAAGACGGUCCUAUGGAUGGUAAACCUCGUUAGGCGGGGAGCAAUGCCGGGCACGCGUGCCCGGAGGGAGAGUACCCGCAGAAUAAGCAUCGGCUACCUCCGUGCCAGCAGCCGCGGUAAUAAGUAGGGUGCGAGCGUUAUCCGGAUUGAUUGGGUUUAAAGGGUGCGUAGGCGGAUUUUUAAGUCAGCGGUAAACUGUCCGGGCUCAACCCGGGCCGGCCGUUGAAACUGGGGAUCUUGAGUGGGCGAGAGGUAUGAGGAAUGCGUGGUGUAGCGGUGAAAUGCAUAGAUAUCACGCAGAACUCCGAUUGCGAAGGCAGCAUACCGGCGCCCGACUGACGCUGAGGCACGAAAGCGUGGGGAUCGAACAGGAUUAGAUACCCGAGUAGUC